GUAAGUAAAAGUCGUAACAAGGUUUCCGUAGGUGAACCUGCGGAAGGAUCAUUAUUGUAUAACCGAGGUGCGAGGGCUGUCGCUGACCCGAAAGGUCGUGCAUGCCCGAGUGCCCUCACACACAUCCAUCUCACCCCUAUGUGCACCACCGCGUGGGUCCCCCUUUGGCUUGUUCGGAGGGGGGCUUACGUUUUCACACAAACUUUGUAUGCAGUGUAGAAUGUAUUUUUUGUUUUUGCGAUCACGCAAUCAAUACAACUUUCAACAACGGAUCUCUUGGCUCUC
rnacentral:misc_RNA from 1 species